rfam:Agrilus planipennis Contig10297, whole genome shotgun sequence.
CCUCUCGUAGCUUAGUAGUCAGAGCAUUGGUGCGUAACGCCAAAGGUCCCGGGUUCGAUUCCCGGCGAGGGCG